UUUUCUUUCUUUGACUCAUUACAAAAGCCCCAAAAUCACUUUGACCUAAAUCUUUAAUUUCUCCGGUUCACCACUCCACUCAAGUUCGCAUUUCUUCUUCAAUUCUUCACUGGCGUCCGUCGUUCUCGUUCCAGCCGGCAUCCGGUCGUCGUCAGUCCUCUAUCCUCAAACACUCACAACAGCCGGCAGCCACGCGUUGAUGUCGUCAGUCCUCUGUCCUUAAGAACAACUAUUUUAUAAGAGGUAGAAGACGUUAUCUCAAGUUUUGAGAAUCAUCAAGGCGUUUAUCAUGCCAAAGAAUCCCCUUCCACUCCAGACACUUUCUCACUACAUCUCUGCAGAGUUCCUUUCCAGUGAAGAAAGCCAGAUUAAGCGCUCAAUUUAUAUUCUGUGCCUUUGUUUCCUGUUUAUUUUGGCUCUAGUCAUACGACAUCAAGGUGAUUGCCAAGUAAUAAACACCUUUGAGGGGUUUAAUGUCUUCGUGGUUUGCAUCAUGUUAUCAGUCACCGGAGUAUAUUGUGUGUUGCUGAUCAGAAACCAGCCCGAGCUUGCAGUUCUCCAGAGAUGUUAUUUCAUGCUGUCCGUUGUUUCAAUGGCAUUAGCUUUAUCAAUAUUGGGAUAUGCCUUGUUUCUGGAAAGUUUCAGGUGGGUUUAUGGAUGACUAAAUUGUGGCAAGAUGAAUAUCUCAGCUUUUCAAAUUUGAUGGAAAAGGUCUUUGUGAUUACAAGCUUCAUUGUUUUGUUGGUCUGGUUCUUGGAUUCGGAGAAAAUCUGCAUAGUUUGAAGAGACUGUACAUGUCAGAUUUCUGGUAAUUUGUAGGAGAUUUAAAGAAUGUUCUUUUUGAGCUUUUGCAUUUCCUAAUCAUCUGUAUUAGCUAGCUUUUUUAAUCUAGAAUUGAUCACGUUUGCGAAGCUAGUUAAAUGAUUGCCUUUUGAUACACCCAAUUCAAAUUGACAUGUUUUGAUUCACCAGUGAAGAAAACUCUUUUGGUAUCAUUAUCGAAACUGAAAGAUGAAAGAAAUUCUUUACGGGUAUUCAACACCUGAGAAUUUUCAUGAAACACUAAUUAUAGCAAAUAGCAAAGGAUAUAUGGGAAAAGAAAUGGAUAUCUCAAAACUAAUGGAGGAGAGGUCUGUUAUUAUUACAAUCAAAGGAAGAUC